AUUGAACGCUGGCGGCAUGCCUUACACAUGCAAGUCGAACGGCAGCAUGGGUGCUUGCACCUGAUGGCGAGCGGCGAACGGGUGAGUAAUACAUCGGAACGUACCCGGAAGUGGGGGAUAACGUAGCGAAAGUUACGCUAAUACCGCAUAUUCUGUGAGCAGGAAAGAGGGGGAUCGCAAGACCUCUCGCUUUCGGAGCGGCCGAUGUCGGAUUAGCUAGUUGGAGGGGUAAAGGCCCACAAAGGCAACGAUCCGUAGCGGGUCUGAGAGGAGGAUCCGCCACACUGGGACUGAGACACGGCCCAGACUCCUACGGGAGGCAGCAGUGGGGAAUUUUGGACAAUGGGGGGCAACCCUGAUCCAGCCAUGCCGCGUGAGUGAAGAAGGCCUUCGGGUUGUAAAGCUCUUUCGGCCGGGAAGAAAUCGCACAGGCUAAUACCUUGUGUGGAUGACGGUACCGGAAUAAGAAGCACCGGCUAACUACGUGCCAGCCGCCGCCGUAACAC
rnacentral:rRNA from 1 species